GCUGAUGACGAGUUAUCUUUUAGAUGACGAGGUGGUCGAUGCCAUGCUUCCAGGAAAAGCUUCUAAGCUUCAGGUAACUAGGAACCGUACCCCAAACCGACACAGGUGGUUGGGUAGAGAAUACCAAGGCGCUUGAGAGAACUCGGGUGAAGGAACUAGGCAAAAUGGCACCGUAACUUCGGGAGAAGGUGCGCCGGUGAGGGUGAAGUAUUUACUACGUAAGCCCAUGCCGGUCGAAGAUACCAGGCCGCUGCGACUGUUUAUUAAAAACACAGCACUCUGCAAACACGAAAGUGGACGUAUAGGGUGUGACGCCUCCCCGGUGCCGGAAGGUUAAUUGAUGGGGUUAGCUAACGCGAAGCUCUUGAUCGAAGCCCCGGUAAACGGCGGCCGUAACUAUAACGGUCCUAAGGUAGCGAAAUUCCUUGUCGGGUAAGUUCCGACCUGCACGAAUGGCGUAACGAUGGCGGCGCUGUCUCCACCCGAGACUCAGUGAAAUUGAAAUCGCUGUGAAGAUGCAGUGUAUCCGCGGCUAGACGGAAAGACCCCGUGAACCUUUACUAUAGCUUUGCACUGGACUUUGAAUUUGCUUGUGUAGGAUAGGUGGGAGGCUUUGAAGCGUGGACGCUAGUCUGCGUGGAGCCAAUCUUGAAAUACCACCCUGGCAACUUUGAGGUUCUAACUCUGGUCCGUUAUCCGGAUCGAGGACAGUGUAUGGUGGGUAGUUUGACUGGGGCGGUCUCCUCCUAAAGAGUAACGGAGGAGUACGAAGGUGCGCUCAGACCGGUCGGAAAUCGGUCGUAGAGUAUAAAGGCAAAAGCGCGCUUGACUGCGAGACAGACACGUCGAGCAGGUACGAAAGUAGGUCUUAGUGAUCCGGUGGUUCUGUAUGGAAGGGCCAUCGCUCAACGGAUAAAAGGUACUCCGGGGAUAACAGGCUGAUACCGCCCAAGAGUUCAUAUCGACGGCGGUGUUUGGCACCUCGAUGUCGGCUCAUCACAUCCUGGGGCUGAAGCCGGUCCCAAGGGUAUGGCUGUUCGCCAUUUAAAGUGGUACGCGAGCUGGGUUUAGAACGUCGUGAGACAGUUCGGUCCCUAUCUGCCGUGGACGUUUGAGAUUUGAGAGGGGCUGCUCCUAGUACGAGAGGACCGGAGUGGACGAACCUCUGGUGUUCCGGUUGUCACGCCAGUGGCAUUGCCGGGUAGCUAUGUUCGGGAAAGAUAACCGCUGAAAGCAUCUAAGCGGGAAACUUGCCUCGAGAUGAGAUCCCACUGGAACCUUGAGUUCCCUAAAGGGCCGUCGAAGACUACGACGUUGAUAGGUUGGGUGUGUAAGCGCUGUGAGGCGUUGAGCUAACCAAUACUAAUUGCCCGUGAGGCUUGACCG
rnacentral:rRNA from 1 species